CCUCCUUUGCACUGAAUCUGCAUGAUGGUGAAACUGCUCUUCACCACCUCGAUGAGUCCAACACAGUCGCCGAUGGACAAGCAUCCGUAGGGGAGCAUGCUGAGACCAACAUACACAAAAGUGGUAUCUGUGAGGUUCACCAGUUUGUCCAUGGCCUCCACCUGCAUGCACACACGCCCUGUGGAUCAACCAAUCGAGGACCAAAUAGCGUCAGAAGAACCACCUCACCUGUCGGUUCAGAUGUUUGAGGUACAUGCCACACGCUCUGCAGAAGGCCUCCAGCAGCAGGCCAAAGCGGCGCGACACCGUUUUGUUGUGCAUCUCGGACCUGCCAACAACAAAACGCUAAUAUUGCUUUGGCCUCGCAAGUCAUCAUCCAUUGGCCUUCUUGCUCACUUGAGAUGCCAGAAGAAGAAGUGUCCAAUCCUCUGAUUGAUCAGGGCUUUCUUGAUAAGAAAACGAGCCAGGGGGUUGUCCAGGUACAUUUCGUAUUUCAACACCUGAACGAGCUGCAGUAGGUACUGGGACAGCUUGUCGUCCGUCAGGCUCUGCACCAGGCAGCGUAGUGCAAACUCUCUCACCAUCGGAUCAGGAAAGUUGCAGUCCAGCAACUCCAGAGCCGACUCAGAUUCCAUCAGAGGCCAUUCCUUCAAAAGGCAGUACAUCUGGUAGAAAGGAAGUCCUUCUCUUGUUCCGAGAGUUCGUAGAGAGGAUCUUUGGAGCAGAGAGAUCGAAGCUGCUCAGCGUCGGUUGCCGAGACGCUGCUGUCGCACGCCAGGCGACUGUUCUAAACAGUGAGACAGGUUCCAUCCGACUUUCUGCCAAGCCAGGAAGGUGUGACGAAGCUGGAAGCGGGAAGUUGACAGUAAAGACUAUCCUUGGAGACCAGCAUGAGGUGAGGAAGACGACCCACGAUGAUACAGGAGCGGAUAUACUGCAGGCGGAAAGAAGUCACAAGUACUCGUCACAGCCACACACCUGAGGAGAUGGAUCGUGUGCGUAACACAGGCCAGCGUGCUGAGCGUUGAUUUCCGUGCGUACCUUGAGGAUGUACUGGCCCUGGUACUCCUGAACACAGAGGCGGAGCUGCUGAGGGGAAAGGUGCAUGGAUCUGCUUUUCUUCCUGAUGGACUCUGCUAUCAGCUGUUCGGGAAGGCUGUCAUGGCUCACCUGCGCAUGCCAAGGAAAAUACACCUUUCAGGGAGGGUGUCGUGGGCUGGGAAGAGCUGCCCCGCGGACUAUGGGAGGCGGACGACGCUUGGACAACGGUCAGGAUCACGCCGGGAGCCAAUUGGCCGGCCCAGCUUUGACUUAAAUCGGAUGUCACACUGGUGAUUUGGAAGCCACUGCGCUUUUUUUCACAGGUCAUCACCAAGGAUACAACCCCUGAAAAGACACACAAGAAAGGCAUCGUAACACAUUAAUAGAUGGUUGCUUGUCUGUAUGUGCCCCGCAAUUGGCCGGCGACCAAUCCAGGGUGUGUCAUGCCGUUUGGGCUUCAGCUUACCUGUAACCCUAAUGAGAAUGAGCACCAAAAAAAUGUUGGCGUGUUUAUCUAUUUGGUGCUGCCAUUGGCUGCCGACCAAUUCAGAGUGUAAGUCCCCUCUUG